rnacentral:rRNA from 1 species
UACGUAGGGGGCUAGCGUUGUCCGGAAUCAUUGGGCGUAAAGCGCGUGUAGGCGGUCCGGUAAGUCUGCUGUGAAAGUCGGGGGCUCAACCCUCGAAUGCCGGUGGAUACUGUCGGGCUAGAGUGCGGAAGAGGCGAGUGGAAUUCCUGGUGUAGCGGUGAAAUGCGCAGAUAUCAGGAGGAACACCUAUUGCGAAGGCAGCUCGCUGGGACGUAACUGACGCUGAGACGCGAAAGCGUGGGGAGCAAACAGG